rnacentral:misc_RNA from 1 species
AUCCGCCUCGCUGCUUGUGAAUUACCAUUAGCAAGACCAUACACAAAGUGCAUAUCGCACAUUUCACUAUAAGUGUACUCCAUUUUAGACAAAAAUGAGGAAAUUGUCUACUUGACAGGAAAAAAACAACACCUUAUCACUGAGCCACACCUAGUAAUGUUAAAUGAACUGGUAUUUUAUUUAUUGCAUUUUCAAAGCAACGAAAAGAAUGCGACAAAAACUAAAACGAUAAUAGUAUUUACUAAAUUUUGUUUAAUACGUAUUUACAAUUUCAACAUUCCGCAGUAUUUUUUAGAUCAGCAGUUGUUAAUGCUGUACUUGAUAUUCGACACUAUGAAUAGGUAAGUAUUACAUUUUAGGAAGAAAAUUAUUUCUUUGCUUUCGCGUGAUUUAAAAGCAUUUACUUGUAUUUUUACAGAGGGAUGCAAAAAAGCAAUUCUUAAUUUUUUUAUCGAAAACGGAGGGAGAUACGAAAAACACCCAAGAGUUGAAACAAUUCCAUCUUUAGUUGCGUCAUCCAAAAAAUGUACAGAAGGUUCAAAAAAUCUACUAGGUGCUAUUUUUUGUACAAAAAACCUAACCCGCUUACCCCGUGGGCACGUCCCUGGAAUAACAAAUCAACUGUCAUAUGUCAAAAAGAUACAUCAUUAAGAUAUCCAGAAAUGGUGUGAAUGACAUUGCAAACAGCAAAGGCAUUUCUUAGAUAUUAAUAAAAAAUCGAUUUUUUAAGAAAAUUUGAACACCCUGUAUCUCGGAAACGAAGCACUUUCGGACAUAUGUUUAUAGGAACUUUUCGUCAUAAUUUAACCCAAAAAAACCGGCAUUUCAUUUUUGUGCAAUAUUAAUGAAUCACCCUGUAUAUCUAAAAAGAAUAUUCAGGCAUUUAGAAACAAACAAUUAAAAUUCGGAAAUAAAACUCUGUUAUCACCAAAAAAAAAAUCCCCAACGAAAUAUGAUAAUUCCGCGGAUAAGUCAGAUUCAACGAGUGAAUCUCAAUUAAAUUAUUUAGAUCAUGAGCCAUAUUUUCAAGAAAAUGAAGUUCAUAUCUUACACAGAGCGGCUAGAAUAUUAAAGAAUCAAAUGCGCGAAUUUCAAUCCAAGCGGAAAGAAUUUCCCAUUCCUAAGGACAUAAAUGAGAGAAUUUUUCAAGAACAACUUCCUAAAACGUUGCUUCAAUUUAUUUCUUAUUUUAGGUGCAUAUAUCAACUAAAAAUUUGGUAUAACAGUCACAUACCAUAUAUGAAUUUUGAAGACCCAAGAAAAUAUGGAUAUAGAGUCUAAUAUAUGGACUCCAAUAUUUGCGACACAGGAUCCCGUCCCAAAGGAACUACGGAAAAUUUUAGUUCUUCGAUGUUCCGAUGGAAACUGCAAAACUAAAAAGUGUAUAUGUGUAUCCCAGGGCUUGAAGUGUUAUAACGACUGUAACUGUAUCUUAAGUUAUUAUUAUUCGCCAACUUCAUUUAUAAAUUACUCGUAGAUGGUUAAUAAAUGGCGGCAGUUGGAAGUACGUUCGGUCGGCAACGCUGUAGAGCCAAUAACACCUCUACAAAAGGACAAAGCGCUCCAAAAAAUUUUGCUCGUGACGUCACGCGUUUGGGCCAUACACUUCGGGUUGCUUUUCGGGUGAAUUCAGCUGUUGACGCUGCCGUUGUUUGUCCACGGAAGGCUGCCUGCAACGCUGCCAGACUUUGCCGAUUGCCGUGAACAUUAGGAUGAUGUAUUACUAUCUUAAAAUAAUUAAAUCUAUAUCUUUAACUGCUCUUACUUACAUUUAGUUAAAAAAAAAAAAGAGUGCAUCAUUAUUUCUCUUUUUAUAAUUUAAACUUUUUUCCAUUUCCAUUUUUUCAAAUUUUAUCAUUUAUCUAAUACCACAGAACACAAAUAUACCUUGUUACUUGCCAAUAGGAGUUCUUUCUAUAUAAAUCUGACAACGGCGCAUCUACUAGUUGUGCCACCUGAUGAAACGAGAGGUUAGGUUGUUUAUAUUUAUGUUCUGUGGUAGCCGGUAUUUCUGACGGGAUCCGCAGUAAAUAUUAGCUCAUUUUUGUGUUUUUUUCUAAAAUCGGAACUGUUUAUUUCCGCGAAACCUGUAUGUUAUAUUUAUGUAAACUCUUCGCGUACUUUUAAAUCGCAAAAUCGUAAUUUCGGACUAGAAAAAUCCUCGGAAAAACCGGUUCUCGGUCGCGAUUUUAUUUGUUUAUAUCAGACUUUAAUACUUUAGUUCGUGUUUAAUUUAAUGUUUUUCUCCUAGUUCACCUUGUAGUUAAUACCAGAGUGUAAAUAUGCCUCAAAAGUGUUGUGUUCCGGGUUGUAACAGAAACUAUAAAAACGGACCUAAAGUGCAUGUCUUCGGUUUUCCUAAUGAUAUACCUAAAUCUAAGGGGAAAAUGGGUAAAAGCCAUACACAGAGAUGACUUUGAGCCCACAAACAACACCAAAGUAUGUGAAGCUCAUUUUCUUGAAGGUAGUAUAAUAAAGAGUACUAUAUUAUUCGUUUUAUUAUACAUAUUAAGUUCAAGAUUCCAACACAGGUAAAAUUUUUACAAUAGAAUUACUAAAACCACGGCUGAAACUUUUGAAACUUUUUUAUAUAGCGAGCCAGGGACGGAACUCUGUAACAAAAAUAGCGAAAACGAUUCUCUAUAAUCCUUAUCGCUUGGCCAUUUGUACUCCGUAACUACAAUCGGAUUAAAUCGCCACUGAUCGCGUGCGCUCGGAAUUUCUUUAAAUAAGGACAGAUAAAAUGUUCUCCUUAUUAAAAAGCUACUAUUUUCUUCUCACUCUAUUGUAUGUCGAAUUUCUACUUAUCUCUGUCUACUUUCAUGGAGUAGGUCACGUAAGGACAAUUAAGUUAAAAUGGAUCUUCCAAUUCCAAUUAACAGAGCCCCAAAAACCAGCCCUGUGCAGUGGCAAGUGCUGGUCGAGUAUUUGAUGAAUUACCCAGAAAUGCUUACCAAGGCAUUUUCUGGGGUAAAUGGCCGGCAGCACUAUAAGAAAAUGUGGAGUGAAGCAGCCACCCAACUAAAUAGUAUGGGUUAUGGGUCUAAAACCCCAGAUAAGUGGAUAGAGGUAUACUUACAGUUAAAGCUAUAUGAUGUAAAUAUAAAUAUAUACAAGAUACAGACUUGUUGUGUAACUAUAUACAUGUAGUAUGUAAAAUUACAACAUUUUAAUAAUUGUCAAUGCAAUAAUAAUUGUGAUUAUUUGGUUUGAGGCAUUUUCCAAAUGGAAAAGCAAAGUUAAAGUAAAGGCUCAAACCAUAAAAUUGGCCAUGAACAGGACAGGUGGAGGAGGUCCAGUACCUCAACUGACUCCCAUCGAAGAAAAGUUAAUGGGUUUAAUUGGAUGGUCAGCUGUAGAAGGAGAUGCUACAGAGGAGUUAGGAUUAGUGACCCAAGAAAGCAUGGAAAAAAAAGGUAAUACUAGAAAAGCCUCGGGAACAGCAAUUGCAAGUACAUCUACCACAGCACCACAAUCCACACAAGUUAACGAAAAUAUAGAAGCUCAGAUAUGUGAACUACCUCCUUUGGUAGCAAUUGGCAGUGAAGAAACUCACUUACAGAAAAAUUGUAUAAAACGAAAGUUUAUAGGAAAGAUAAAUAAACAAAAUAAAAUUAGCAAAAUAGCUAUGAAGAAUGAUAAUAAAACACUCUUAAUGAUGCAUGAGGAGACUCUAAAAGUACUAAAGGAAAUUAAUGAAAAUCUUGCAAUAAUGGCAAAAAAUUCUGGGAAUUCAAAAUGCUGCUGUAAAUGCCAAUCUAAUUAAAUACAGCAUUUUGAUUUUAUUUAUGAUAAUAUGUAUAUCUAAUAAUCCGUCCACUUUAAGUUACACUGUAUAAAUAUAUUAUGUAUUUAAGUUCCCUUUAUAAACAUGAGUUCCUAUUUUUGUAAUGAAUUAAUAGUUUUGUUGUGGAUAUAAAUUAUUAGAUGUUCACCUGGAUGAUCCUUAUUUAAUAAAAGUGUUUUUAAUAUUA